AUCUAUGUAUAAAUCAUAAAUUUCUCACUAUAAAAAACUUGCAUUCUAAUAAGUUGCACCUAGUCCAAUAAAAUUCGUUUAAUAGAAAUGAUUCGAUCAAUAAACGAAAUGGUUAGGAUUAAAAAAAUAAAUAGUAAAAUAAAAAAUAAAAAAAAUAAACAUAGUGACUGGGGUUUUACUAGGAUGCAAAUAUACAGAGAUAUAUAAGUCCUAUUAAAAUUGAUCCCUCAACUUCAAAUCUUCUUUUCUUUACUAUUGGGUAUUUUAGCAGGUCUAGGUCUAGGUUCAGAUCUGGAUCCAGAUUUAAAAACUCGUUUAUACCCUACCUAUUAAAAGGUCGGAUUCGGGUCGGGUCCAAGUUGGUUUAUGAGUAUAAAGUAUAUCCAUUCUUUAUCAAAUCUGGUUUGGGUCUGGAUAAAAUGAAAUAUUAGGUAUUUUGGACCGCUUUAAUUUGGAUAUGUACGUCAUAAUAGAGAAACGACAAAAAAAAAAAAAAAACAUAGCACACUACAACAAAAACGGUCUAUAGCGACACUUUUAAAUGUAGGUACAUGUCAAAAAAGUGCUGCUAGCUAAAAUUAUCGACAAUUUUAAAAAGUGUUGCUAUAUGUGGGGUCGCUAGGUAUAUAGUGACAAUUAAAGAGUGUCGCUAUAACCUAAAAGAGUGCUACUAAUUUACCAACACUUAUUUAAGCAUUUAGCAACCGCCGAAACUCUAUCUCGUUGGCUGCGGUAGCGGAGGAGGACGACAGGAAAGACUCUUCAUCUAGAAUUUCAGUGGAUUGAGUGAAGAAAGAAGAAAAGAUGGUAAUUGAUUUUUCUUUUUUUUUUCUUUUCUGUUUGUAAUCGGGCCAAAUAAACUGGGUGUGGUGAGUUGAGUAAAGUAAUCUUUUAUUUUUGGUUGGGUUGCGCUUUAUAUUUAGGCAUUAGUAGAUAUUUUUUUAAGUUUUAGUAUAAAUGGGACACUUACUCAAAAGUGUCCCAAACAUGUGUCCCUAUAACCUAAUUCUGUUGUAGUGGCAAGGGCUUAAUACUUCCAAAAUAUAUUCUAACAAAAUUCUAAUUUUAUUUUAAAUGUUUUAUU
rnacentral:lncRNA from 1 species